rnacentral:rRNA from 1 species
GACGAACGCUGGCGGCGUGCUUAACACAUGCAAGUCGAGCGGAAAGGCCCUUCGGGGUACUCGAGCGGCGAACGGGUGAGUAACACGUGAGUAACCUGCCCUUCACUCUGGGAUAAGCCUGGGAAACCGGGUCUAAUACCGGGUAUGACCUCUGACCGCAUGGUUGGUGGUGGAAAGUUUUUCGGUGAGGGAUGGGCUCGCGGCCUAUCAGCUUGUUGGUGGGGUGAUGGCCUACCAAGGCGACGACGGGAACCGGCCUGAGAGGGCGACCGGUCACACUGGGACUGAGACACGGCCCAGACUCCUACGGGAGGCAGCAGUGGGGAAUAUUGCGCAAUGGGCGAAAGCCUGACGCAGCGACGCCGCG